CCCUUAGAUGUUCUGGGCCGCACGCGUGCUACACUGAGUGGAUCAGCGGGUCAGGUUGCGCGAAAGUGUUUCCUAAUCUUUAAAUCCGCUCGUGAUGGGGAUUGACGGUUGCAAUUUUCCGUCAUGAACGAGGAAUACCUUGUAAGCGCGGGUCAUCAUCCCGCGCUGAAUACGUCCCUGCCCUUUGUACACACCGCCCGUCGCUCCUACCGAUUGAGUGGUCCGGUGAGGCUUUGGGAUCUGGGCGGAAAGAGCGUUUCGCUGUUUCUGCCCGGAAAACUCAGUCGAACCUUAUCAUUUAGAGGAAGAAGAAGUCGUAACA
rnacentral:rRNA from 1 species